GCCUAUCGUGCAUCUGGAUCCCUGCACGCGUGCUGCGAAGGGGGUUUUCCUUGGGCCCUUAGGAAGCCCACCCAGGGGAUCCCAACGAAGCCCCCUCGCCCCAUUUCCCCGCGCAGGCAUCCCUGGGGCGCUGUGGGUUCCGCGCGGAAAGAGGCAGUGUCAGAGUGACUGACAAGCUGUGAUAUAACCCAUCAGCAUCCAAUGAUAGCCAUUGCAUGAAUCUGCCCAGUCAAAGGACCCAUUUUCAUGAUAGACAGUCCCUGUGGCUGGAGGCUCUACACACAGGGUAUGCCUAUACAGGCCAAAGACUGCCAGUAUUAGCACAGGGCCUGCCUUCACCUGCAGCAGAAUUCCCCAACUCACCAAGAAUUUGAGACCCAACAGGUAUCCUCACCUGGUUUAGCCGGCUGGUUGAAGCCGUUCCUGGGAUUAUGGCCUCUUUUGCAUGCUGACAGCUUCUGGAAGCCACAGUGUCAUUUUAGGAUAGUCCUGCGUCAGAAGACAGGCACGAGAUCAGACAGCAAAUCAUCCUUUAAAAAAUCAAGCUGCUUUAUUAACAUUGAUUGAGGAUUUUGAAAGUUGCUCAUGAAUUACUAUCAUUUGACAUUCCAACUUCUGCUCCUAAAAAUUGGGAACAUGGGUAGGAUGUGAGGCAAUGUAGGAGACGUUGAAAUAGGAGAAGGUGCUAAUGGAGCUUGAUGUGUUCUCUUUCCCUUAGUUCUCUUCCUUUAAACCCAAACAG